rnacentral:rRNA from 1 species
UGGCAUAACGAGGGUUUGACUGUCUCUUUUUCCUGGUCAGUGAAACUGAUCUGCCCGUGCAGAAGCGGGCAUACCGCCACAAGACGAGAAGACCCUAUGGAGCUUUAGACGCUAACCAACCCCGAAAAGCACCCUACACCAGGGCCCAAACAACGUGGUUUUGGCACAACCGUCUUCGGUUGGGGCGACCGCGGGAGAUAGCACAGCUCCCGAGUGGAUGGGGGAAACCCUAAAACCAAGAGCUACAGCUCGAAGUCACAAAACAUUUGACCAACAAUGAUCCGGCUUCAUGCCGACCAACGGACCAAGUUACCCUAGGGAUAACAGCGCAAUCCCCUCCCAGAGUUCAUAUCGACGAGGGGGUUUACGACCUCGAUGUUGGAUCAGGACAUCCUAAUGGUGCAGCCGCUAUUAAGGGUUCGUUUGUUCAACGAUUAAAGUCCUACGUGAUCUGAGUUCAAACCGG